UUACGGCCACAUCACGUUGUAACAACGGUUCCCGUACGAUCACCGAAGUUAAGCAAUGACGAGCCUGAUCAGUACCUAGAUGGGUAACUGCUUGGGAAUACCAGGUGCUGCAAG